UGGGUUCGAUUCCGGAGAGGGAGCCUGAGAAAUGGCUACCACAUCCAAGGAUGGCAGCAGGCGCGCAAAUUACCCACUCCCAGCUUGGGGAGGUAGUGACGAAAAAUAACAAUGCGGGACUCUAAGAGGCCCCGUAAUUGGAAUGAGUACACCUUAAAUCUUUUAACGAGUAUCAAUUGGAGGGCAAGUCUGGUGCCAGCAGCCGCGGUAAUUCCAGCUCCAAUAGCGUAUAUUAAAGUUGCUGCAGUUAAAAAGCUCGUAGUUGGAUCUGGGGCUUGAGGUCGCUGUCUAUCGUUUCGGCGAUGACGGUGAUGCUCAGCUCUGCUUGCCGGUGACUGUUGCGGUGUUCUUCACUGAGCGCUGUAGCAGCACGGCACGUUUACUUUGAAAAAAUUAGAGUGCUCAAAGCGUGCUUGUCGCUUGAAUAAUGUUGCAUGGAAUAAUGGAAUAGGACCUCGGUUCUAUUUUGUUGGUUUUCGGAGCUUGAGGUAAUGAUUAAGAGGGACGAACGGGAGCAUUCGUAUUGCGGUGUUAGAGGUGAAAUUCUCGGAUCGCCGCAAGACGGACUACUGCGAAAGCAUUUGCCAAGAACGCUUUCAUUAAUUAAGAACGAAAGUCAGAGGUUCGAAGACGAUCAGACACCGUCCUAGUUCUGACCAUAAACGAUGCCGACCAGCGAUCCGUAGUGGUUGCUUUAUGGACCCUACGGGCAGCCUCCGGGAAACCAAAGUAUUUGGGUUCCGGGGGAAGUAUGGUUGCAAAGCUGAAACUUAAAGGAAUUGACGGAAGGGCACACCAGGAGUGGAGCCUGCGGCUUAAUUUGACACAACACGGGAAAACUCACCCGGUCCGGACACCGUAAGGAUUGACAGACUGAUAGCUCUUUCUUGAUUCGGUGGAUGGUGGUGCAUGGCCGUUCUUAGUUGGUGGAGUAAUUUGUCUGGUUAAUUCCGAUAACGAACGAGACUCUAGCCUGCUAAGUAGUGUUGCUAUUGUUAUAUGGUUGACACUUCUUAGAGGGACAAGUGGCAUUUAGCCACGCGAAAUUGAGCAAUAACAGGUCUGUGAUGCCCUUAGAUGUCCGGGGCCGCACGCGCGCUACACUGGAGAAGUCAGCGUGUGUUAUCCAAGUCCGAAAGGACUGGGUAAUCCGUUGAACCUUCUUCGUGCUUGGGACUGUGGCUUGGAACUAUUCCACAUGAACGAGGAAUUCCUAGUAAUUGCAAGUCAUAAGCUUGCGUUGAUUACGUCCCUGCCCUUUGUACGCACCGCCCGUCGCUACUACCGAUUGAAUGGUUUAGCAAGGUCCUCGGAUCGUGGCCGUAGGGGCACGCAAGUGUUUCUGCGGUUUGCGAGAAGACGACCAAACUUGAUCAUUUAGAGGAAGUAAAAGUCGUAACAAGGUU
rnacentral:rRNA from 1 species